rnacentral:rRNA from 1 species
GUGCCAGCCGCCGCGGUAAUACGGAGGGGGCUAGCGUUGUUCGGAAUUACUGGGCGUAAAGCGCACGUAGGCGGACCAUCAAGUCGGGGGUGAAAUCCCGGGGCUCAACCCCGGAACUGCCUCCGAGACUGCUGGUCUGGAGGUCGAGAGAGGUGAGUGGAAUUCCGAGUGUAGAGGUGAAAUUCGUAGAUAUUCGGAGGAACACCAGUGGCGAAGGCGGCUCACUGGCUCGAUUCUGACGCUGAGGUGCGAAAGCGUGGGGAGCAAACAGGAUUAGAAACCCUAGUAGUCC